rfam:Stegodyphus mimosarum contig53401, whole genome shotgun sequence.
AAAAAGGUUCUUUUAAGAGCCACUUGAAUUUUGAAAAUAAUUUCUG